ACUGGAAAGAAGAAGCUUAAGAUCGAUUCGUGGUUUGGAACACGCAAAACCAGCGCCUCCAUCAGAACCGCUCUUAGCCACGUCGAUAACUUGAUCUCCGGUGUUACCAGAGGUUUCCGUUACAAGAUGAGGUUCGUGUACGCCCAUUUUCCCAUCAACGCCUCCAUCGGCGGUGACGGAAAGUCUAUCGAGAUCCGUAACUUCCUUGGCGAGAAGAAGGUUUGUUUUAUCUUCUUCAUCUCUGAUUUGAUUCUCAUAGAUUCGUGUAGAUCUCGGAAUGAAAUAGACUGACACUAGAUUCAACUUUAUGAUUGGACGAUGAUGAUUGAUUUCUGAGUUUGCGAGCACUGAACUUACAUAGAAAUGUGUUUAUUGGAAUAAUAGGUGAGGAAGGUAGAGAUGUUGGAUGGUGUAACCAUUGUUCGAUCUGAGAAGGUGAAGGAUGAGAUUGUUCUUGACGGUAACGAUAUCGAGCUUGUUUCAAGGUCGUGCGCUCUGAUCAACCAGGUACUCCAUUCUUUAACUAGUAGAUAUCACAAUUUUGUUUUAAUGAUCUGAAGAUAUCACAAUUCUCUCAUAGUCUACUAUAUCCACAACAACUUGAAAUUAAUCUUGGGUCGAAAAGAUAGAGCCGUUGUGUAGUAUAGGAGACGUAGAUUUCUUUUGUUUUGGUUGAUGUUUGAGUUUGGGAUCACAUUUUGCAUAGUGAAAUCGAACUGAUUCAUCUAUAACUGAUUUAAUGCGCUCUGGUCAACCAAUAUUUUAUUGGUUAAAAUGUGUUUCUCAUAGUCUUGUACAAUAUCAACUAGGAAUAUUCUGAGCUAACUUGGCCGAGUUUGCAUAUUGUUGUAUGAAGGAAAGCAUAAGCGAUUGUGUUUAAAAAUGAUUCUUUGUUGACAAUUUAACUUUGUUGUCAUAUAUUUCAUAGUUGAACUGACUUGAUUCUUUAUGUUUUACUGUCUUAUGUAACUGCUAUGGUUUGCAUUAUUGUGCAGAAAUGUCACGUGAAGAAGAAGGAUAUCAGGAAGUUCCUUGACGGUAUCUAUGUUAGCGAGAAAAGCAAGAUCGUAGAGGAAGAAUGAAUACUCAUAUUCCCCUCUUAGCUCAUAUUUCUUGUGUUUGGAAUGUUGUUAGUUUUGUUUUAUGGACCAAAUCCACCGGUGAUGUAAACCUUGCCUUUUUUUUGUUCGAGAAUUUAUUAACUUAUGCAACAAGUUUUGGAGACAAUUAGAGACCCAUUCACUCUCACACUUUUGCCAAAUUACAUCUUCUCGGAUGAAUUUUGAAUUCUGAAGAAUUUGGUUGUGUUUUUGAAUUCCAGAACAUUAUAAUCCAUUGUCCUGAAUGAAAACGCCCACAAAUUUAGAGGGUGUUAUCGGUUCCUAAUUUACAAGAAAUUUUGAUGACUUUAGUUAAAUCUUUGAAAGUAAAGAAAUGAAAGAUUAUAAACGAUUGUUAGAGAGUUUUUUGAUAAUCUUGUUGAUUAGUUUUUUAUAAUUUUGUAAAGUUUUCCAAACAAUCUCUCUAUUUUAAUAAUAUUUUCCAUGACUUUCCAUGACUUCAUUUUGUAAAGAAAAGUGUAGGAAAUCAUGAACCAAUAACACAAUAAUUUAAAUCAUUAACAAUCAUUAAAAAUCAAAGAUUCUUUUGUUUUAAUUGAAUAACACAAAACUUUUAAUGAUUUAAUAAAAGUUCGUAUCUAAUAACCCAAAAUUUAUGAAGAUUUUAGAUUACUUUUUACAAAUCUUAAACGAAUAACACAAAACUUUAACAUACUUUAAAAAAGUCUUGAUUGAAUAACAACAGAUUUUACAUGACAAUUUAAAUCAUUAAAACUCUUUUGAAAUCAUAAACGAAUAACACCCUAUUAAUAUUUAGUCAAAUUAAUACUCAUACUUUUUCUAACUUAAAUUUAAUACUCAAAUACUUUUUCAAAUACUCAAAUUUAAUAUUUAACAAAACUUUUUCAUUUGUUACUCAAAUAAACUUUUAUAAUUCUAGCUGGGAAAAUUUCCAAAAAUAAACUUCAACUAUUUAAUAUUUGCCAGAAUUCUUUUUUUUUCUUUUCUCGUUGCCUAAAAUAAUCUAAUCUAGUUUACGGCCCAUAAAACAAAGGGUUAUUGAGUUUAUAGUCAUAAACUAAUUGCAUUCUCAGAUUUUCCUCAAUGGAUUAUAAAAUCAGCCAUAAACCCUAUAAAAUCAGUCAAUUUUUUUUUUCAUCCUAAAACAAACACAAACUAUUCUUUAUUUUCUAAUUUCUCUUCGUCUUCGUUAUGGCCGUUAACGACAUCGUUGACGUCGUUACUAUUUUUGAGAAAAUUUCUAACCCAAAUUAUGAAAUUUUGCUUGAAAAAAAUACCUGAAUUUCUAUUUCCUUGCCAUAAAAUAACACAUAUCAACAUUUUUUUUUCUCUUCUUUUAUUCCAUUAACAAUGUAAGAUGGUCAAAUGUCAUAACUUUAUGUGCUCUCUUGAACCUCAUACAAGUUCUCAUUACUAUUUAGGACAAUUAAAUUCAACAACAAAAAUACACAAUUAGAUUAGUCUAUUUCUAUUUUUUUCAAUACCCAAACUAAACCCAUAUCGAAAAAACCCGAUUUGGGCGAGUAAGAGUUUCAGGAAUGUACCUCAUUGGAUAGAGUUCGGGUCGGUCCGGAUCAGAGAUUGCCCAUUACACACACCGGAUAUCCAUAAACCCGAUAUAAGGUAUGUGUAUAUAUACGGUAUAGAUAUAGUUUUAUACAUUUAUAGACUAGUUUACCUUUUGCAUGCUUGAUUGAAUUACCCAUGCAUCAGUUUCCAACAAGGCUACAAUCCUACUUCUCGUUGUAGUUCUAUACUUUUUAUUUUCAGAUAGUCGGAUUUAUGUUUUCAAAUUCAUUAUCGGAUUACUCACUCUUAAUUCUAAGUAUUACACUUUGUGAUUUUGGAUUGGAUUUGGAUGUCAAGUUUGAAGUGUUUUAUUCUCUUUAUUACUCACAUUUUGGGUUUACGGUUAAUUUUUAUCCAUUCAGACCCGAACCCGAAAGAAUUCAAAAUUUUCAAGUAUUUACCGGUUCUCAGACUUAGUACCCAAUCUAACCCGAAUCCGGGUGUACCUAAUCCGAACCGGAACUGAAUAUAUGCAAUUACCCUAAGAGUAGUAAAUCCAUUACCCAUUUAACCGGAACGGGUUAUCUAUAUGCCCAUUCCUAGAUUUGAUCUUAGAUCUAUACAAGCUUUACAAAUUUUGAGAUUUCAUCGACACUGGAAUUCUAAAUUUCAUGAGAGCUUAAAAAAACUUUGUAGAUCUUCGUAGAUUCUCUAUAUAAAACGAAAAAAUUAAUUCAAUCAAGCAAAACUCACCAAAAUUGAAGCUUUAAAACCGCAACAUGAGAAUAAAGCAAAGAGAACAAAACAAAGCUGAUAUUCGAACGGGACAUAAAUAUCUGAUAUAUUUGUAAAUGUUUUGAGUUUUGUAUCCAAUUAUACCCAAAAUCUAGCAAAAGAUCUGAAAUUUAACCAUAAUCCACCAAAAAAACAUACCAGUAUUUCAGGUAUUCAGGUACUUGUUCAGGUAUGAGAUACAAUCAAGUAUGAAAUACACGAACUGAUUAGUACCCAUUUUUAGGGUAUUUAUAACUUCUAAAAGUCUAAACCUGAUUCGUCCUAAACUUGAAUGACCGAAUCAAACUGAACCAAUUUUGUAUAUUUACUCAAUUAAGUCCUAAAAUCCUCUAUCUGAUUUGAACGCGAUCGACUAGAGUACAUGAAUACAGAAUAUCCAAUCAUAUCCACCAUAAAGGAUACUAAACUCUCCGAUUUGAAUUACCCGAAUCCAAAAAAGCCGAAUAACGUGCAUUUUGUUUGUAUUUGAUUAUAUUAAUUUGCAUAUCUAUGGGCUGUUAAUGCCAAUAAUAUAUUUUGGGUGUUCUUGGGCUUGAACUUUAUUGGGCUAGGAAUGGUUGUAUAUUUAACCCUACUUCUGAUUAGUCUCUUAGUAAAGAAACUAGGGUUUUCGUCGCCGUCAUUUUUCUUGACCUAAAGAGCGAUCAAUUGAGAAGGAGAGAGAGAACAAAACUUCCGUCAUUCCAGCCUUAUAUUUUAACGGGACAUGGGCAUAUUGCAAAUAAUGUAUUUUCUCAUUUUUGGUUACUAGGCUGCGUUUUGAAAAACCCACCUGAACGAUGUUUAGGGUUUCUGUUUUUCGUUAUACUUUUUAUAAGGGCGCCGAUAAAUCGUUUUCUAGGGUUUAUUUGAUUAAAAAGAGAGCCGCCGUAAAACAUUAACGUUGUUUAGGGUUUGUAUUUCAUAUAUUUUUAAAAUGCCGUCGACAAAACCUUUUCCUAGGGUUUCUGUCUUUGAUCAAACCAAAAACAACAAAUUUGAUAAAGAUAGCAAAUCAGGAAUCAGAGAAAUUGGUGUAUGCCGGUGACCAAAGUAUUCUCAACAUACUAGAAUGAUUCAUAAAAAUACGAGGAUUUUUUUUCUUUCUUUCGGGUAUUUCUUUCAUUCCAUACAAUUCAAAGUCAAAGAUGAACACCUAAUUGUGCGUUGAAAAAAAAAGACAUAAUGUGCACAUUUUGAUCUAUAUAUAAUUAAUUAUGUAAAUUUUAUACCUCAUGUUUAUUUUUAAUCAGUUUAUUUAUAUAGACAAAAAAAUGAUUCACAAAUCACAAUGAUGGAUCUUGUUGUUAAAUUAUUUAACUACAAAUUAUAUUAAAGUAAAUUAGGAUAGUCCGAUGUGCGAGUUUUAAAGUUUUAUAAUUAAAUUCUUAAAAUAUACCGAUAAUCUUUUAGUUAGAGAAGAUAAAUAUUUAUAUAUUCUUUAUAACAAAAAAAUAUAUUUUUAUAUUUGUUUUGCUUUAACUUAUUUGCAGCUCUAUAUUUUAAUUUUAUUGUAAGAUUAUAUUACAAUAAACACUACAAGAAAACUGUCAUUUUGCGAGGGAAGAAUUACUCGCUAAUCCCUCGCAAACAGCCAUACGCGAGGGACUUGCGAGGAAAUCAAGUUCCUCGCAAAUGGUAAAAAGUUGCAAUUCCCUCGCAAUUUUUGCGAGGAACUGUUUUCCUCGCAAAACACACGCAACACAGUUCUAGUAUUUCCCUCGCAACUGUUGCGAGGGAUUUGCGAUUCUUUUCUUUCUGCCUAGCAAAUCCAUCACAAACAACUGAUUUCCUGAUAUAUUAAGGCUUGAUUAGUGGUUAAUUAGACUCUAAUUAUCUGGUUAAUUAGUUGUUGAUUAGAGAUUAUUUUUGAUUCUUAAAUAAAGACACAAGAAGAAGAAGAAGCUGAAAUUAUCAUUAUCUAAAAUGUAUUCUACAAUGCCAAUAUUUGAAACCAUGUUCUAAAAAGAUUACAAGGAAAAAAGAGAAAGACAAUGUUCUCAAAAUACUGAUGAUGGAGAGGAUCCUGUUGCAAGGUUAGCUAGGGCAGCAGCAGCAGGUGUCUCCUCAUUGGCUUGCUGUUCUGGAGUUGUAGCUACAGGUGGUUCAUUUGCGCUAACCGGUCUUGUCUGUGUCGAGGAACCUCAUCGAAGAAUGGCAGCUAAAGCUGGAUCUUUCUCAGCAAGAUAGUCAAAGAGGAUAUCAAAGUUGUUGAUCUUCUCAGCCUGAUUUUGAAUGCAAGCUUCAGCGGCAGCCAGCUUCGCAGAAAGUAUAACCGGAUCAUCACUAGGAAGUGUUGGACCACUAUGAACUGAGGAUGCUUCAAACUGCAGAGAUCCAACACCAUAAAUCCUUCCUUUCUUUCUCGGAGCAACCUGCAAAGGUCACAAAAACUCACAAGGACACAACAGAAAACAAGUGAGAAAACAAGUUCAACACAAGACAAAAGAAUUCAAACACAAUAAGCUGUCAAGAUUUCAGACAACACAAUAAGUUGUCAAUAAGAUUUCAGACAACACAAUAAGAUUUCAGACAACACAAUAAGUUGUCAAUAAGAUUUCAGACACAACUAGACAACGCUAACAGUGAUUAUCAAGUAGACAACACAACCACACUUGCAAUAGAAAGCAAUUCAAACACAACACUACACAAAGUAUAAUGAAUAAGCUGUCAAGAUUUCAGACAACACAAUAAGCUGUCAAUAAGAUUUCAGACAACACAAUCAGAUUUCAGACAACACAAUCAGAUUUCAGACACAACUAGACAACGCUAACAGUGAUUAUCAAGUAGACAACGCUAACAGUGAUUAUGAAGUAGACAACAGAAAGAGCACAUAAAAUUUACCUCAGUAAAUAUCUUGUUUUUGGCAUGAACAGAAAGUCCACCUGAUCCAGUGCUCUCCGGAUUGUCCCCUGAACCCAUAUGAGACUCUUCCUCUUCAAUCCUAGAUGUUACUUGCUUGUAGAUCUCCUCUGACUUCCCAUCGAUGAAGCUUCCAUCCGCUUUUCUGUGUGUCUCAUCUAGCAGCUCAAGGAAAUCAGGAGUUUUUUCUCCAGUCUUCUCACACUGAAACACAAAGAGAUAAACAAGAUGUCAGUAUGUAAUUCUAGAUUAAGUAAUGGUAAGGAGAGAAGAAUACUUAUCUUACUCGUUUUCUUGCACGGGCUUUGUAUGAGGUCUGGCCUGAACGGUGUUUAUAGAUGCCUUUGCCAUCCGGAUCAUGAUACCUAGCAUUUCUGCUGUUGUUACUCUUUUUUUUCUGACUUUGGAUCUUGCCAAAACAGUACAAGACCUUUCCACACAUCAGGAUCAAUCCAUUUUGGCUUAGCUUCAUCACCUUUCUCCUUCCAAUUUCCCUUCCACCGUGACACUUGAUCAGUCAUCCUAGACUUUAGCUUUGCUUCAAACUCAACCCUUACUCUUUUGUUAAUUGAACGGUCCCAGUUAUAUACUUGCUACAAAAGAGAAGCUAACAUCAGAAAUGAAACCAUACACAAAACAAGCAUAAACAUCAAAAGAGCACAGAACUUACCGCAAACGUUUCAUACCAUCGAUCGAUUGUAGCCUUUGAUGUUUGUGACCAAUUGGCAUGAGGUUCUUUGAAAUCUCUUUCAAAGAUGAUGCGGACUGUUGCUGCAACUGCAGGGUCAUCGUCAAACCUACAAGAAGACCAACCAGCCCACACAUAAGGAUUUCUAUGUCUUUAAACUUCUAAGACAUCACAAUGCUAAGUACAACCAAGCUGUUCUAUUUGUUGAAACUUCUAAGGCACUACAACCUAAGGCACUACAACCUAAUUCCAUUACGCUCCAAGGCACUACAAAGUUCUAAGGCACUACAACCUAAGCUGUUCUAGGACAAUGAAUUUAACCUUACCAGAGAGUUCCCGGAGGACGCUUUGGGUCUAGCCUUGUCAAGCCAGCACGACCAGGACUAUCAAGAAGCUCCUCCAGUGUGAGAUUGUUGAGACGCUCAGCUUGAGAAUCACAAUCAUUGACAGAAGGCUGAGUGGUUGGCGUUGGAGGCGAUGGUGGAUGGCGUGAACCUUGAACCCCUGAAAUAUUCCCAGCACUGACAGGAGAAUUGACAUGCAACGAGUCUCCCUGCUGUGACCUAUAUCGUGCAUAAGUAUUCUCCGACGACGACAUCUUGCAAAACAAACAAAACCCAGAAGCGAUGAAGAAGAAGUUAGAUCGGAGAGAAGCAGAAGCAGAAGCAGAAGCAGAACAAAUGAUUGACAGAGUUUAGAUCCGUAAACUAGAACAGAUUAGAUCUGGAAAACAAUGUCAGAUCGGAGAUGAAGAAGAAGUUAGAUCGGAGUGAAGCAGUUAGAUCGGAGAAGAAGACGUUACCUUGGAGGCAAAAGAGAUCGAGUCGCGACUUGUGCUGGAGAAGAAGAGUCGCGACGGCUGCUGGAGAAGAAGAGUCGCAACGGCUGCUGGAGAAGAAGAGUCGCGACGACUGCAGGAGAAGACGAGACGCGACGGAGAAGAAGAAGAAGUUAGAUCGGACGGUGGAAGUUGGAAUGGAAAGAAGAAGUUAUAUCGGAGAAGAAGAGGUUACCUUGGAGAAGAAACAGAUCGACUCGCAGCUGAACCUGGAGAAGAAGAGUUGCGGCGGCUGCUGGAGAAUAAGAGGCGGCGACGUAAUCAGAUCGAAGAAGAAGAGAGGCGACGGCGAAGAAAAUAGAUCGGAGAAGAAGAGAAGCCGGCGACGAGGAAAACAGAUCGGAGAAGAAGAGAAUCGAAGAAAAAAAAUUAGGUUUAGUAUAUAUAAGCAUAUAUAUCCUCGCAAAUCCCUCGCAAACCUUGCUAGGAAAUUGCGAGGAACCGUCUUUUAAACCAAUCAAAAUGCAGCUUACAUUGCGAGGGAACUGCGAGAGCGCCUAGCAAAUCCCUCGCAGACCUUGCUAGGAAAUUGCGAGGAAUCGUAUUUUAAACCAAUCAAAAUUCAAUAAUUAUAUUUGAUUCAGUCUCUCCUAUUUCUAGUAAGACCCUCAGCAAAAUAAGAACAUGACUAAAAAUUCUAAAUAUUUUAGGGUUUAGUGUAAAUAUUGCGAGGGAACUGCUACGCGUACUAGCAAACACCUCGCAAUUUCCUCGCAAUGUAUAAUCAAUUUUGAAAAAUACAACAAUCACUAUUCAAAAUCAUUUGGAUUCAUUUUUUUUAAUCAUUAGAACGUUAAUUAUCUACAUUUGAACCUAUUUUAUCAUCAUAUAAUUCGAAUGUGUUUUUUCCCCAAAUACAUCAAUGAUGAUCUUAUGGUUUUCAUUAAGUAUGAAUCAUGAAUGUUUAACAUUUUCAAAAUGAAAUGUUGAUAUUGAAACCAAUACAAUAUUUUUUUGUUCAAACCAUAUAAUCAACUUGAAUGAUUAUAUGGUCACUUAGAUUCAUAUCUAUAAAUGAGAAUCGAAGAUUGCAAUACACUUUUAUGUAUUUUAGGGUUUAGGGUAAAGAUUUGCGACGUAUCUGCUUGGGAUUUGCGACGGAUAAUAUCUUUCUUGCGAAACCAUCGUACUUCCAUCGCAAAUUUGCGAGGAAGUCUUCCCUCGCAAGUUUUGCGACGGAAUUGCUACUCGCGUGCGGUACGUAGCAAGUUUCUCGCAAUAUCCUCGCAAUAAUUGCGAGGAAUGCCUUCCCUCGCAAACCUUCCUCGCAAAUUGACUGUUUUCUUGUAGUGAAACUAGUACAUUUAAAUUACUAAUCUUUAAAACUUUUUGCCAUAUAUAUUCAUCAUUAAUUUAUUGCCUAAUCUCAAAAAAUAGUUUCGCAGUCUCGCCUAAAAUAUGAAUCAACCACUUCUUGAGAAAAUGUUUUACCUGUAGACCACCAGUCAGGUUAUUUUAAUCUAUUUACAAAUCUACUAUCUACGUUACAACUAAAAAACGUAUCUAUGAGUACAUUAAGCCUAUCAGUUUCAAUCCAAUCAUAUUUUACUACUGAAAUAUGUUCUAUGAACACCUACAAAAUGUAUAUAUGAACACAUUAAGCCAAUUAUAUUCUUAUUUUGUUUAUGUCCAACUAUAUGUCUCUUCAUUUACACUUUUGCAUAGUUUCUUCAACCACUAAAUGUUUUGACUCAACAAAUAUUUUGAACAAAAAAAUAUAUCAUAUAGCAAUAAUUGAUGAUGUAUUUACAAGAAAACUAAAUUAAGUAAAAAAACUACUUGAUUAGAAUGCGUUUAUGACCAACCAAUAAACUAAAGGUUGAGAAAUUAAAAGAAAUUAAUUUGACGUAACUAAAAAAAUAAUAUAAAUGAGUCUUAGAUAAUUCAAAGAUAGAAAUAUAAAUGAAAGUAACAAUCUAAAAUACGACCACUAAAUUAAAAGUAAAUAGACAAAGAAAAAUCAUAUAUCGAUCUUACCAUAUACAAAUUACAAAUUUGUUUCAAAUCAACACAUAUUUCUAAUUAAAAAAAAACAAAUUGAAAUAUAUAAUGUAAAAUUUUACAUUAAAUCAUGACACAUGUAGUAGUCUAAUUUUUUUAGUACAAUGAUAUAUGAUAAUUAAGUUUUAUAUAAUUCAAAUACAAAAAAUCAAUACAAAUAAUCUUGAAAACAAAAAUUAAAUUAUAAAUUUUAGGAAGACGAUGAUUUAUAAAUCUUUAAUAAUUCAAUGCAUGCCACGAUAAUGUGAUAACUUUGUAGCUGUGUAUAAGCACACCUAGAGAUGGAGAUAACACCUAGAGAUGGAGAUAGAGAGAGAGAAAGCUUCAGGAGGAGAUGAAGAAGAUGAGAGGAGGUGCAGAUUUGGGGAUGUUUUUUUCUUUUUUUUUCGGUCCAAUUUUUUUUUUUCUGGAUGGAUUGAUCAACUUUACAAAAUCUCUGGCAAAUAUUUGGUAGAUUUUUAUUUUAUUUUCAUUGCUUUAACUUAUGAAUAAAUCUAUAUUUUGAAAAAUAAAAAGCUUGUGUACUUCUCGAAUGUUUAUGGUCUUAAUAUUGCUGCUUGCUUCGUUUUGGUCGCAUGAUUUUAAAUUUACUAGGUUAUAAAUCCACGCGUAAUUUUUUUAUCAAAAUUGAUUCUUAACUCUAUUGAUUUUUAUAAUUUUUAAUAUGGUAUAUUUAAAAUAAAAUGUUUACUUUAUUAGAAAUUUUAAUACUAUAAUCAAUAAUAUAUACUUUUCACCAAAUUAUAUUACGCGUGGGUUCAAAACCAAGUGUUAAUUACUUUGAAAAGCAAAUUUUAUAUAAUAAAAUUUUAAAGUAUGAUAUACUCAUAACUUGAUUUUUUUUUUUUUGCCGGCUACUCAUAACUUGAUUUGGUGCUAUUUAUGACAAUUUCUCUAAUUUAUUCGACUUUUGUUAUUUUGUUCUUUAAAGCAAUGAUAAAUUAUUAUUUGGUCUGGCCCGGAACGGACUGCUUUCAAAUGGACCGGGCCGCCAGCCCACAUACUAACUCAUUUAGAUAUAAGUUUCUUCUAACCUCUCUUUCUCUAAAAAGCUGUCGGCGAGUGGGAGAAGCGCAGAGAGAGCAAACAAAGAGCAAACUUGAAUUAUUUCUCCGUUGGCUUUGUUUGAAAAUAUAUAAAAAAAACAAUUAACGGGCCAUGAGCUUGUUGCAAAUAAUCUAUUUAUUUUUCAUUUUAGGAUUUUUGUUUCUCGACACGAGUUGAGCUGAUUUUGAUAAGCCCACAUGACAUUGUUUUAGAGUUUCUGUUUUUCUUCUUUAUACUUUUUAAAAUGCGGCCAGUGAAUAAUUUUCUAAGGUUUAUGCUUUAAUACAAGUUAAAUAAUUUUUUUGUAAAUAAUUUUUUGUUGGAAUGUCAAAUUUAUUCAACAAAAGAAAAUGAUUACAAAGAGUUUUGAAAGGUAAAAAAUGGAGAAAAUAAACGUGAAAAGUAGAAACAAAAAUGAUGAAAUUGGCGCCACUUACAUCAUUAUAGAAAGUUCAAAAGGCCUAAUUCUGACACAAUAUUAUUAACGGGUCAUGGGCUUAAUGACAAUAAUAAACUUUUCUCACUUUUGAGUUUUAAUAAGCCCACAUUUGCUUUAGGGUUUCUGCGUCUCUAUCUUUAAAUUGCUUCCGACGAUUCAUAAACUAGGGUUUCUGCCUUUAGCCGUCGUGAGAGAGAGAGCAAAUCGAAGAGAGAGCAAAGAGAAAAUAAUAUGUUGUUUGCGUUUGGUACGGUGACUCGAUCUGUGGCUAAUUCAGUGGUGGUUUGCUACGGCUUUCUUUCGACAAUGGUGUUUUCUUUCGACCUAAACUUGAUAGACCGAACCAAACUGAACCAAUUUUUAUAUAUAUUUACUCAAUUAAAUCCUAAACUCCUCUAUUUGAUCUGAACCCGAUCAACCCGAAUACAUAAAUAUCUAAUCUUAUCCAUCUGAAAGGAUACUAAACUCUCUAAUUCGAAUUACCCGAAUCCAGAAAAAGCCGAAUAGCAUGCAUUCUAUUGGUACUUGAUUAUAUUAAUUGGCAUAUAUAUGACCUGUUAUUGCCAAUAAUAUAUUUUGGGUGUUUCCUGGGCUUCAGUUUUAUUGGGCUAGGAAUGGGUGUACUUUUAAACCCACUUCUGAUUAGUCUCUUAGUAAAACCCACUUUUAAACCCACUUCUGACCCACUUCUGACGCCGUCAUUUUUCUUGAGAAGGAGAGAGAGCACCACUUCCGUCAUUCCAGCCCAAUAUUUUUAACGGGCCAUGGGCUUAUUGUAAAUAAUGUAUUUUUCUCAUUUUUGGUUUUCUUUAUGGGCACGAUUUUAGUGGGCUGAAUUUUGAUAAAGGCCCACAUAUGAAAGAUAUUUAGGGUUUUUUCUCUUGAUACCUUUUAAAACGCCGUCGAGAAAUCUCCCUCUAGGGUUUCUUUGAUCAAACCAGAGAGCCGUCAGGGAGAGCAAAACAAAGAUCGGAGAAGAUGAAGACGAUUCUUUCUUCCGAAACGAUGGACAUCCCCGACAGUGUUACCAUCAAGGUUCACGCUAAAGUGAUCGAAGUCGAAGGACCUCGCGGGAAGCUUGUUCGCGAUUUCAAGCAUCUCAACCUCGAUUUCCAGCUGAUCAAGGAUCCAGAGACUGGAAAGAAGAAGCUUAAGAUCGAUUCGUGGUUUGGAACACGCAAAACCAGCGCCUCCAUCAGAACCGCUCUUAGCCACGUCGAUAACUUGAUCUCCGGUGUUACCAGAGGUUUCCGUUACAAGAUGAGGUUCGUGUACGCCCAUUUUCCCAUCAACGCCUCCAUCGGCGGUGACGGAAAGUCUAUCGAGAUCCGUAACUUCCUUGGCGAGAAGAAGGUUUGUUUUAUCUUCUUCAUCUCUGAUUUGAUUCUCAUAGAUUCGUGUAGAUCUCGGAAUGAAAUAGACUGACACUAGAUUCAACUUUAUGAUUGGACGAUGAUGAUUGAUUUCUGAGUUUGCGAGCACUGAACUUACAUAGAAAUGUGUUUAUUGGAAUAAUAGGUGAGGAAGGUAGAGAUGUUGGAUGGUGUAACCAUUGUUCGAUCUGAGAAGGUGAAGGAUGAGAUUGUUCUUGACGGUAACGACAUCGAGCUUGUUUCAAGGUCAUGCGCUUUGAUCAACCAGGUACUCUCUCUAACUAGCUGGUAUCAAAGAGAUUUAGGUGUUAUCUAGCCAAAUUUGCAUUUUCUUGGGACUAAAAGGUUGAGAGAUUGUGUUAGAUAGGUGACACGGUUCAGUUCUAGGAAUCAGAUUUUGCAUAAAUGAAGUGAAAAUCGAUUUGUAUUAUCUCUAUAGGUCUCUAAUAGACGAUUAGAUUACUCGCUAAGUAAACUUUGCCAAUUUUGCCUAUUGUUUGGCUUCUUAAGCUUUUCAGCAUUGUGUAUGAAAGUGUUUUUUUGGUUGAUGUUUGAGUUUAGGAUCACAUUUUUGCAUAGUGAAAUCAAAAGGAUCAUUUCAGUGAUUGAUUUACGUGUUCAAGUCUUUGUUGUAAUCUUUUAUGUUGUGAUUGUUGUGCAGAAAUGUCACGUGAAGAAGAAGGAUAUCAGGAAGUUUCUUGAUGGUAUCUAUGUUAGCGAGAAAAGCAAGAUCGUAGAGGAAGAAUGAAUGCCCAUAUCAUCGUCUUAGCUCCUAUUUCUUGUCUUUUGAAUGUUAGUUUCGUUUUAUGGACCAAAUCCACCGGUGUUGCAAAACUCUGGCUAUCCCUUGUUCCCUUUUUGUGUUCGAGAUUUUAUUUACUUAUGCACAAGUUUUGGAGACGAGCUAUCAUUUUCACCUUUGCUUAAUUAAAUCAUAUCGUGUGAAUUUGGGAUUGUUCUGGAUUUGGCAUUGUGGGUUGUGCAUUCAAAAUUGAUACUUCAGUCACUAAACUAAAAUCAAUUUCUCGCAACGCUGUGAUCAAACAUAAAGAUAACUUGAGACAACGAAAGCGAGCUUUGCAAUUUGAGAAAAGCUACGAGACGCCCUGAUGGUCAGGUGAUCAAUAUUAGUGCAGAAUGAUUCUGCUUUCCAGAAGUCCUCUUUCAACCAUCGUUUAUCAUAUUGGAAGCACCGAGGAUUCAUGAGACAACUUAUAAUUUAAUCAUGAAAUGUGAUUUCGACAUCAGAAAGGACUAGUAUGUUAACAUUGUGCUCAGUGGCGGAUCAACCAUGUUUCCAGGAAUUGCUGAUCGGAUAACCAAAGAGAUCACGGGGUUGGCACCUAGCAGCAGGUGGUUGCACCACCUGAGAAGAAUAUUGGAGGAUCCAUCUUGGCUUCUCUUAGCACAUUCCAACAGGUACCGUAAACUCUUUAACCGUGUGAUGAUGAUUCAAGUUAUUCACACAAAGUACUGAUGUUUGGUGUGGAUAUCAAAGGCAGAUUACGAGGGAUCAGGGCCAGCCAUUUUUCACAGAAAAUGCUUUUAGACAACCUCUUUAUGUAGCUUGUUGAUUGAUGAAAUUGGCUUAAGAUUAAUAUUUUUAGUCUUUAGUCGUGGCUUGUUUUAAGUUUUGUUCCUUUAUGUUUCUUCAUAUGUUUGAGAAAAGCGGAGAUGGGUGUGUAACUUUAUCCAAAUGUUCGUCAAGUUCAAGAACAGUAUAAUUUUGAAGAUUUGAUAUAAUGGUUGAAAAGGAGACUUGAAGAACAAGGUCAAAUGUGUUUUGGUAAUGGUUAUGUUUUAUAUGUUUUGAUCCUCAGUAUCCUCUCUGAUCGACACUUCAAACAUUUUGUACUUAUUUUAUCUCUUUGUUUAUUUUUUAUGGAUCGUCAGCUAAUAGAGAACCAAAGUUUGAAACCAAAGGUAUUAGAGAACAAACCAAAAGCCAAAAAGAGAGCAAACUAGAGAUAAAUACUAAAUGUGUCGUUAUUCUUCAAAACAAAGAUGGUUUCACAAGUCUUGCAGCCAUACCUCAUUAAGGCUGACGGUAUCCGAAUUGUGAUGGACAUGCUCGUAUUCAACUAAGAUUUGUGAAAAAGUCAGAUUACACAACAGUUUUCUAAAAAGUGUUGGACUCCACCAUAGUAUAACCACUGUGCAAAUCACCAUCUACCGUCAACAAUUUCAAUGUCUUAUUCACUCUGAAACGAGUAGAGUUUAUAUAGAGUGAGUGAGAGAGAGGUCAAUGUAGUGUCACUUGAAAACUGCAAUUUUUACUCUCGUUUUUUUACCGGUUUUACUUGUCUUUUUUACUUUUUAUAUAUUAUCUUCUAUUUAUUACCCAUUUUGAUGUUGCCUUAUUCAUGGUCAAAUAAUGCACAACCACGAGUAAUACCAUCACAGUCUCUUUGGUUUUGUUACGAAUUACUAGUAGUAUCUAAUCCGUAUGUCAAUGGGUUAGAAGUGAUAAAUUCCAUUAUGUAUAUAUAGUAAAUACUAAAUACAACAAUAUCACUUUAAAAAAUCCAAAACUAUAUAUUUAAAACGGAAUUCUCUUGAGGAAAAAAAUAAAUGGAAUUCUCUUUUAGUGUUUGAUAUAUACAAAUUAAUAGGAUUGGUAAUAAUCCCCCUUGAUAUGAAUACAACAGAAAAGACUAACAAUCAGUUUAUCAAACUAUUGUACAUUUCCUCUACCAACCACCAAACAAGAAGGAAUCGAUUCAAAAGCAGAGUAACUCAUGUCACUUAGCCACUAAGGUCACCGACGUUUCCCCUCGAAGGAAUGGUAAACAAUGCUUAUCAAACACCCACAAACCAUCUCUCUAGAUAUUCACGUAUGUUUAGAUAAAAGUAUCUCUUGAUACAUGAAUAUGUAUGUCACGUGUGAAGAAUUCUUAUGCUCAGUCGACAAAUCUAGCAUUGGUCCGGUGGGACAUGAAAACCCUGACAUUAUGCUCGACUUGUCUAGAAUACUAUGCCCCAUUUAUUAUCCUUUUACAUAGUACUGUAUCAAUUACAAAAAUGGGGAUAGGACAAGAUCCUAAUUAUCAAUUCCUCGAGUCCAAAGUUAUGGGUACCACGUGAAUUAUUUUACGAAUUUUCUUUAUUAUCUUGACUUCUUUACCUGAUUUUUUAUAUUUUCAACUACAUGGAGACAUGGCAAAACGAAAAAUGAGGCUAUUCAAUCUCCAACUUUAUCUCAAAAUUUUAUUUUUCCCUCUCUUUAAGACCACUUCUAAUAAUAAGUGUGGUUCUUGGCUUUUUGGUAAAGAAUAGACACCAAUUGUCCUUUUUUAUUACAAUAAAUUCGGACAAAUUUGAUUUCUUGUGAUGGUGGAUCCCUUUUUCUCGUGCUUCGAGCUCCAAUAAACUUUUCUUACAUUUUUAAUCCAUUUUUACGUUGAUAUUUUUUUAUAAAAUUUCCACCACCUUACAAAAGAUUUUAGCUUUUUGUGUUACUAAUUAAAAUCAGAACAAAAGUUGCAAGUCUUUCAUCUCUAUGCACAAAUGGCGAAAGAGAACAGUAGUCAUAGCCUUGCAGAAGCAAAGAGAAAGAGACUCACUUGGAUUCUUUGUGUAAGUGGACUUUGCAUAUUGUCUUAUGUUCUUGGAUCUUGGCAAACCAACACUGUCCCAACUUCUUCCUCUGAGGCUUACUCAAGAAUGGGAUGUGAUGAAACAUCAACAACCACUCGGGCUCAGACUACUCAGACUCAAACAAAUCCUUCUUCUGACGAUACUUCUUCCUCUUUGUCUUCCUCAGAACCAGUUGAGUUAGAUUUCGAAAGCCAUCACAAACUCGAGCUGAAGAUUACGAAUCAAACCGUAAAGUACUUUGAGCCAUGUGACAUGUCUUUGAGUGAGUACACUCCAUGUGAAGAUCGAGAGAGAGGAAGAAGAUUUGAUAGGAACAUGAUGAAGUACAGAGAGAGACAUUGUCCUUCUAAAGAUGAGCUUCUUUAUUGUCUGAUUCCUCCUCCACCAAACUACAAGAUUCCAUUCAAGUGGCCUCAAAGUAGAGAUUAUGCUUGGUACGACAACAUUCCACACAAGGAGCUUAGUAUUGAGAAAGCUAUCCAGAACUGGAUUCAAGUAGAAGGGGAAAGAUUCAGGUUCCCUGGUGGUGGCACAAUGUUUCCACGUGGAGCUGAUGCUUACAUUGAUGAUAUUGCUAGACUCAUUCCUCUUACUGAUGGAGCCAUUAGAACAGCUAUUGAUACAGGAUGUGGUGUAAGUUUCGAUUUCUUGUUACCAUUUUUAUAUGCAUCUAUCUAUCUUUGAUUUGUUUUUUAAUAGUUCUGUUUUCUUAGUUUAUUUUUUUAAUUACAACAAAUGAUUAUGUUAAAAUACGACUUCUUGAUUGGUUACCAAAUCGGAAGGAUAAUAGUUUAAUUAAUUCGGUAUCAUUUGGUUGUUUAGGUGGCGAGUUUUGGUGCAUACUUGUUGAAGAGGGAUAUUGUGGCUAUGUCAUUUGCUCCAAGGGACACUCAUGAAGCUCAAGUUCAAUUUGCGUUGGAACGUGGAGUUCCUGCGAUUAUCGGGAUUAUGGGAUCAAGAAGGCUUCCUUAUCCAGCUAGAGCUUUUGAUCUUGCUCACUGUUCUCGUUGUUUGAUUCCUUGGUUUCAAAAUGGUAAAGAACAUUUUCUUGACUUGUUUUUUCCAUAAGGUUUCUUGAUUGGUGUAGCAAAUAACCAAAAAAAGAAUUGGAUGUGUGUAGAUGGUUUGUACUUGACCGAAGUGGACCGGGUUUUAAGACCGGGCGGUUAUUGGAUCCUUUCGGGUCCACCGAUCAACUGGAAGAAAUACUGGAAAGGCUGGGAAAGAUCACAAGAGGAUUUGAAGCAAGAGCAAGAUUCUAUAGAAGAUGCAGCAAGAAGUCUUUGUUGGAAGAAAGUUACAGAAAAGGGUGAUUUAUCAAUUUGGCAAAAGCCUAUCAAUCACGUUGAGUGUAACAAACUCAAACGAGUUCACAAAACUCCUCCUCUAUGCAGUAAAUCAGAUUUACCCGAUUUUGCUUGGUAAUAAUCUCAACCCCUCCUAAAAGUUUCAUAUUUACUUACAUUUUUUUUGUAUUAUAAGUUUUACGUGAAUGCGAAUUAAAUCACCGAAUUUAGAUAUUAAUUCUACAUUUUUCUUUUUAAAAUUUAGAGUUUUGGUAAAAAAUGUUUUUUCUUACAAAGUUUAGAGUUAGUAUCUGAAUUUCGAGAUUUAUGAGAUAAAACAUGAAUGUUGCAUAGAACUUUUAUAUUUUUUUCUCUGUUUUCUUGUAUAAGAUGUUUUACCUAUUUGUUUCUCUUUCUUUUAAUUUUAAUUUUCUAUGCAACAUUCAAAUUUAUUUAGUGUAAAUUGUUCUAUGCAGCAUUCAAUUUUAUUGUAGUUAGUUAGUUAGUUCUAGAAAUUGAAAAAAAAAUUAGAAAUAAAUCGCUAAAACAUCUUAUUCUACUCAACGGAAAAAUGAUUUUUGAUAAUAGGUACAAAGAUUUGGAAUCUUGUGUAACACCAUUACCAGAAGCAAACAGUUCAGACGAAUUCGCAGGCGGUGCAUUGGAGGAUUGGCCAAACCGAGCUUUUGCGGUGCCACCUAGGAUAAUCGGGGGAACCAUUCCGGACAUUAAUGCUGAGAAAUUCAGAGAAGACAAUGAAGUGUGGAAGGAGAGAAUAUCAUAUUACAAACAGAUAAUGCCAGAGCUUUCAAGAGGAAGAUUUAGGAACAUAAUGGACAUGAAUGCAUACUUGGGAGGAUUUGCUGCGGCAAUGAUGAAAUAUCCAUCUUGGGUUAUGAAUGUGGUUCCUGUGGAUGCUGAGAAGCAAACGUUAGGGGUUAUCUUUGAACGAGGAUUUAUAGGGACUUAUCAAGAUUGGUGUGAAGGAUUCUCUACGUAUCCGAGAACUUAUGAUUUGAUUCAUGCUGGUGGAUUGUUCAGCAUUUAUGAGAACAGGUAAACACAAAUUACUACAUUUUAAUUGCGUUUAUGUUAUACUUAUAUAGUAGAUAAAUCUAUACACUGAAACAUUUUAAGGAAAAAAUUAUUUGUUAAUGGUAAAUGUUAAACACACAUGAAAGGUAGAUCUUUCGUUUGCGUUUGCAAUUUACAAAAUAUUAUAUGAAAAUAAACUCACAAAUUUGUGCGUCCAAUACUCCAAUCAUUUACAAGGGAUAUAUAAUUAAUUUAUAUUAUGAAUAUAUGUUUUUCAAAUAUUAUCAUUUAAACUAUAUGAUAAAAAAACAUGUACAUUUUCGAUAACUUGGGCUUUUAAAUAUGAACUAUCUUUAUUUAUUUUUUAUUUUUUUAAAAGAAACUAAGUAAUCUUUUUUUUUUCUGUUCUUAAAAUUCUAGUGUACUAGAAAUUGUGCACUUGCAUUUUUGUUUGCGUUCUCACUAACGUGAAUCCUAAUGUUGUUGUUGUUGUUGUUGUUGAUGAAAGGUGUGAUGUUACAUUAAUACUACUUGAGAUGGAUAGAAUUUUGAGACCAGAAGGAACCGUGGUGUUUAGAGACACUGUGGAAAUGUUGACGAAGAUACAAAGCAUAACCAAUGGAAUGAGGUGGAAGAGUCGGAUUUUGGAUCAUGAGAGAGGUCCUUUUAAUCCUGAGAAGAUCCUUCUCGCUGUAAAAUCCUAUUGGACCGGUCCUUCUUCU
rnacentral:lncRNA from 1 species